rnacentral:rRNA from 1 species
GAGGAAUAUUGGACAAUGGAGGCAACUCUGAUCCAGCCAUGCCGCGUGCAGGAAGACGGCCCUAUGGGUUGUAAACUGCUUUUAUAUAGGAAGAAACCUUCCACGUGUGGAACUCUGACGGUACUAUAUGAAUAAGCACCGGCUAACUCCGUGCCAGCAGCCGCGGUAAUACGGAGGGUGCAAGCGCUAUCCGGAAUCAUUGGGUUUAAAGGGUCCGUAGGCGGGCUAAUAAGUCAGGGGUGAAAUCCAACAGCUUAACUGUUGAACUGCCUUUGAUACUGUUAGUCUUGAAUUAUAUGGAAGUAGAUAGAAUGUGUAGUGUAGCGGUGAAAUGCUUAGAGAUUACACAGAAUACCGAUUGCGAAGGCAGUCUAUACGUAUAUAUUGACGCUAAUGGACGAAAGCGUGGGGAGCGAACAGGAUUAGAUACCUUGGUAGUCCAC